rnacentral:rRNA from 1 species
UAGGGAAUCUUCUGCAAUGGACGCAAGUCUGACGGAGCAACGCCGCGCGAGUGAAGAAGGAUUUCGGUUCGUAAAACUCUGUUGUUAGAGAAGAACAGCGCAUAGAGUAACUGUUAUGCGUGUGACGGUAUCUAACCAGAAAGCCACGGCUAACUACGUGCCAGCAGCCGCGGUAAUACGUAGGUGGCAAGCGUUGUCCGGAUUUAUUGGGCGUAAAGCGAGCGCAGGCGGUCAAUUAAGUCUGAUGUGAAAGCCCCCGGCUCAACCGGGGAGGGUCGUUGGAAACUGGUUGACUUGAGUGCAGAAGAGGAGAGUGGAAUUCCAUGUGUAGCGGUGAAAUGCGUAGAUGUAUGGAGGAACACCAGUGGAGAAGGCGACUCUCUGGUCUGUAACUGACGCUGGGGCUCGAAAGCGUGGGUAGCAAACAGG